GUUUUAAUAAUUUAAUAAAAAUAUUGAUCUUGUAAAUCAAAAAUAGGAAUAUAAUCUUUUAAAACA
rnacentral:tRNA from 1 species